rnacentral:rRNA from 1 species
AAAGUCGUAACAAGGUUUCCGUAGGUGAACCUGCGGAAGGAUCAUUAUUGAAAUAAACCUGAUAAGUUGCUGCUGGUUCUCUAGGGAGCAAUGUGCACACUUGUCAUCUUUGUAUCUUCACCUGUGCACCUUUUGUAGACCUGACUAUCUCUCUGAAUGCUUUUAUUAGCAAUCAGGAUUGGGAAUUGACUUCUUGGUCUUUUCUUAUAUUUUCAGGUCUAUGUUUACUCAUAUACCCUAAUGUAUGUUUAUAGAAUGUCAUUGAUGGGCCUUUGUGCCUAUAAACUUUUACAACUUUCAGCAACGGAUCUCUUGGCUCUCGCAUCGAUGAAGAACGCAGCGAAAUGCGAUAAGUAAUGUGAAUUGCAGAAUUCAGUGAAUCAUCGAAUCUUUGAACGCACCUUGCGCUCCCUGGUAUUCCGAGGAGCAUGCCUGUUUGAGUGUCAUUAAUAUUAUCAACCUUUUUGGUUGGAUGUGGGUUUGCUGGCCUCUUGAGGUCAACUUUCCUAAAAUGCAUUAGCGGACAACAUUUUUGCCAACCGUUCAUUGGUGUGAUAAUUAUCUACGCUAUUGACGUGAAGCAAGGUUCUGCUUCUAAUAGUCCAUUGACUUGGACAAGCCUUCUUUUAUUAAUUUGACCUCAAAUCAGGUAGGACUACCCGCUGAACUUAAGCAUAUCAAUAAGCGGAGGAAAAGAAACUAACAAGGAUUCCCCUAGUAACUGCGAGUGAAGCGGGAAAAGCUCAAUUUAAAAUCUGGCAGUCUUUGGCUGUCCGAGUUGUAAUCUAGAGAAGCAUUAUCCGCG